GGGGAAUAUUGCGCAAUGGGCGAAAGCCUGACGCAGCGACGCCGCGUGAGUGAUGAAGGCCUUCGGGUUGUAAAGCUCUGUCGGACGGGAAAGAAAAGUUCGGAGGAACAAUACCCUUCGGACCUGACGGUACCCGUUCAGAAAGCACCGGCUAACUCCGUGCCAGCAGCCGCGGUAAUACGGAGGGUGCAAGCGUUGUUCGGAAUCAUUGGGCGUAAAGCGCGUGUAGGCGGGGUGGUGUGUCAGUUGUGAAAGCCCUCGGCUUAACCGAGGAAUUGCAGCUGAAACUGCCGCUCUUGAGUACGGGAGAGGGAAGCGGAAUUUCCAGUGUAGAAGUGAAAUUCGUAGAUAUUGGAAGGAACACCGGUGGCGAAGGCGGCUUCCUGGACCGAUACUGACGCUGAGACGCGAAAGCGUGGGUAGCAAAC
rnacentral:rRNA from 1 species